rnacentral:rRNA from 1 species
CCUACGGUGGGCAGCAGUGGGGAAUAUUGGGCAAUGGGCGAAAGCCUGACCCAGCAACGCCGCGUGAAGGAAGAAGGCUUUCGGGUUGUAAACUUCUUUUCUGAGGGACGAAGAAAGUGACGGUCCCUCAGGAAUAAGCAACGGCUAACUACGUGCCAGCAGCCGCGGUACUACGUAGGUAGCAAGCGUUAUCCGGAUGUAUUGGGUGUAAAGGGCGUGGAGGCGGGAAAGCAAGUCAGAUGUGAAUACUCAGGGCUCAACCCUGAGCCUGCAUUUGAAACUGUUUUUCUUGAGUGAUGGAGAGGCAGUCGGAAUUCCGUGUGUAGCGGUGAAAUGCGUAGAUAUACGGAGGAACACCAGUGGCGAAGGCGGAUUGCUGGACAGUAACUGACGCUGAGGCGCGAAAGCGUGGGGAGCAAACAGGAUUAGAUACCCCUGUAGUC